CGGACCGGCGCACGGGUGAGUAACGCGUAUGCAACUUCCCUAUCAGAGGGGGAUAACCCGGCGAAAGUCGGACUAAUACCGCAUGAAGCAGGGGCCCCGCAUGGGGAUAUUUGCUAAAGAUUCAUCGCUGAUAGAUAGGCAUGCGUUCCAUUAGGCAGUUGGCGGGGUAACGGCCCACCAAACCGACGAUGGAUAGGGGUUCUGAGAGGAAGGUCCCCCACAUUGGUACUGAGACACGGACCAAACUCCUACGGGAGGCAGCAUG
rnacentral:rRNA from 1 species